CUUCUUGGUGUGUUUGGUUUGAUUUGGGCUUUCUACAGUGUCUACACUUCAACUCUUGAAGAAGAUGAUGAUUCUGCUUUGUCCCUCUAAGAAAGCAAGGGCUUCUCUUCCACUGUAACAAAUGUAUGAAAUAGCUUGGAAAUUGAAGGGGGGAACAUGGGUGUCUCUCUGUAUCAAUGCUUUAACGUUUUCCUUAAUCGCACAAUAAUAAUUAUUGUUAUUAUUAUUUCCUUUAA
rnacentral:misc_RNA from 1 species